AUUCUACCUGGCAAGAACUUCAGUGGCUGUGCCUGUGGUGAGGGACUGUUUUCUGCUCUUAUCACAUCUGUGUUGACAUUCGUGGAACAAAUACUCAUUGAGAGCCUUUUAUGUCCCAAGCACUGUGCUGGGGAAUGCAGUUAGAAAAUAAUGAGUCCAACCAGACCUGGUUCCUGCCUUCAUGGAACUUACAUGUAGGAAAGACGGAAGCUGCAACUUAUCCAGCUCUGCAGGAGUGGUGUGAGGCCUUUGACGCUCAUCCUGACUCCUGACUGAUGAAUUAUUUGGUCGACUGAGGCAGAAUCACCUUUACUGGAGCAUAAUCUGUUGGAGGCAGCAUCUCCUGAAGUCUCCAUGAGUUGCUGGAAUGAAGAUGCAAGAGGAAAUUUGGAGAUGUUGCUUGAAAGUUUAAAGUAUUGGUGUUACCGAACCAUUAGAAUAUUACAUAUGGACAACGCCCAUCCAUUAGAAUAUUACGUAUGGACAACAUGGUGGAACAUUUCGAAUAAGGUUGAUUCUUCUAUGUCUUGGUUGGAAUAAAAGGAAGAUAUGUGCAUUACUAGAAGCAACGUACAACGAGAGAGCAAAGGAAAGUAGCUCAGACCCAAGGAAGAUCAAAUUAAGGAAACCAAAUAACCCCAUACCGCAAGCCAACAUGUUCAGAC
rnacentral:lncRNA from 1 species